rnacentral:rRNA from 1 species
AUUGAACGCUGGCGGCAUGCCCUACACAUGCAAGUCGAACGGUAACGCGGGGCAACCUGGCGACGAGUGGCGAACGGGUGAGUAAUGCAUCGGAACGUGCCCAGUAGUGGGGGAUAACUGCUCGAAAGAGCAGCUAAUACCGCAUCCGACCUGAGGGUGAAAGCGGGGGAUCGCAAGACCUCGCGCUAUUGGAGCGGCCGAUGUCAGAUUAGGUAGUUGGUGGGGUAAAGGCCCACCAAGCCAACGAUCUGUAGCUGGUCUGAGAGGACGAACAGCCACACUGGGACUGAGACACGGCCCAGACUCCUACGGGAGGCAGCAGUGGGGAAUUUUGGACAAUGGACGCAAGUCUGAUCCAGCCAUGCCGCGUGCGGGAAGAAGGCCUUCGGGUUGUAAACCGCUUUUGUCAGGGAAGAAACGCUCUGGGUUAAUACCUCGGGGUAAUGACGGUACCUGAAGAAUAAGCACCGGCUAACUACGUGCCAGCCGCCGCGGUAAGAC